rnacentral:rRNA from 1 species
UACGGGGGGGGGCAAGCGUUGUUCGGAAUUACUGGGCGUAAAGGGCUCGUAGGUGGCCAACUAAGUCAGACGUGAAAUCCCCAGGCUCAACUUGGGAACUGCGUCUGAUACUGGAUGGCUUGAAUUCGGGAGAGGGGUGCAGAAUUCCAGGUGUAGCGGUGAAAUGCGUAGAUAUCUGGAGGAAUACCGGUGGCGAAGGCGGCAUCCUGGACCGAGAUUGACACUGAUGAGCGAAAGCUAGGGGAGCAAACGGG